UUCUCUACCUCUCAUUCUCUUUUCUCUUCCUCUCUGGUUCUCUUCUUCUCUUCCUCACUCUCUAUGAUUCAGGCGAAUUUUUUUCUGGAUCAUAAUAAGUCACAAGUAAUAAGUCGCUUGUGGAUCAGUAUUAGGUUUUGCUUCCUCUUUUUCUUCAAACAGAUCCAUCACAGAUGAAAUCCUAGAUCUAUAUUUUUGAGAUUUCUUUUAUUCGUAUCAAUAUGAAGAAAUCAGGUCCUUAGAAAGAUUUCUCUAUUUGGCGAGUUUGGUUUGUGUUGAAAAGGGUUUUGAAUGAACCGCUUCAACAACUUCAUGUGAAAUAACUUAUAAGGACUUUCUCUGACUUCAAUUUCUCAAAUUAGGGCUUAUUCAGUUUAACAUUUUUUGUUAUUUGGAGUUCAAAUUCGCAGCUUUGGGCAACUAGAAUCACCUGUGAGCAACGAUCUAUUUCUUGCAUCAGUGAACCUAAGGUAUCCGCUAACAUGAAACUGUUUUGGAGGUUUUAGCGAAUGCAGAUGUAGUGAUGUGGGAUCUUGAAAUAAGUUCAGAGCUGAAGUCGGCAUGUAAUUCUGCGCUAAUGAAACUCGUAGGAUGGCGCAUUAUGACCUGCUUAACUGGAUGCUCUCUUUUCAACUUCGCCAGAAAGGUUUAAUUUUUUUUUUCCCAGGAAGCUAUUCUGCAUCUGGGAAAUGUUGAAUUUUCUCUUGGUAAAGAGCAUGAUUGUUCAGUUAUUAAGGAUCAGAAAUCUAGCUGUCAUCUUUAAACGGCUACUAGUUUAUUCAUCUGAGCAGUUCUGCAUUAAUAUUGCCAGUGAAAAGCUUCAGAAACAAUGAGGUGUUUAAGAUGGAGCAGGCAGAGUACAGCAAGGAAAAAUUAUUUAGAGCUACAUUGAGUUCACUGACAACCAAGGUGUCUUGGAUUUGAUAACCUAGAGUCAUAACUCUGGAGUUAUGAUUUUUGACAACCAAAAUGCUUUCACUAUCUUAGCAUUGAUGACAACAAGUGAUUGUUGGGGAAGUUGCUGAUGUUGCAACUUAUGCAUUUGGGCCAACUAUAGUGGUCACUCCUCUUGGUGCACUCAGCAUUAUUAUCAGGCACGAAACAAGUUCAUUCCCCAAGUUAUGUGUAUUUUUUUCUCUUCAGUUUUUGGGCCAAGUGUCAUAUUCUCUUGCAUUACUGCACUUGCAAAACAUAGAAAUAUCUUAUGGAAAAAAAUCCUUUUCAUUUCUAGUUUUAUUUUUUUGUUCAACAAUUUUUGUAAAUUACAUUGCUUAGCUAAAUUUGGUUCUAAAACAAAGGUAUCUUGAUUUGGAUUAAA